AGAGUUUGAUNCCUGGCUCAGGAUGAACGCUGGCGGCGUGCCUAAUACAUGCAAGUCGAGCGAAUGAAGAGGAGCUUGCUCCUCUGAUUUAGCGGCGGACGGGUGAGUAACACGUGGGUAAUCUGCCUGUAAGACGGGGAUAACUCCGGGAAACCGGGGCUAAUACCGGAUAAUAAGAGAAGAAGCAUUUCUUCUUUUUGAAAGUCGGUUUCGGCUGACACUUACAGAUGAGCCCGCGGCGCAUUAGCUAGUUGGUGAGGUAACGGCUCACCAAGGCGACGAUGCGUAGCCGACCUGAGAGGGUGAUCGGCCACACUGGGACUGAGACACGGCCCAGACUCCUACGGGAGGCAGCAGUAGGGAAUCUUCGGCAAUGGGCGAAAGCCUGACCGAGCAACGCCGCGUGAGCGAUGAAGGCCUUCGGGUCGUAAAGCUCUGUUGUUAGAGAAGAACAAGUACGAGAGUAACUGCUCGUACCUUGACGGUACCUAACCAGAAAGCCACGCA
rnacentral:rRNA from 1 species